rnacentral:rRNA from 1 species
AGCCCAGACCCACAGCUAAGGUCCCCAAGUAUAGUUAAGUGGAAAAGGAUGUGGAGUUGCAUAGACAACCAGGAUGUUGGCUUAGAAGCAGCCACUCAUUAAAAGAGUGCGUAAUAGCUCACUGGUCGAGUGACUCUGCGCCGAAAAUUUAACGGGGCUAAACUAUACACCGAAGCUUGGGAUGUACCGCAAGGUAUAUGGUAGGAGAGCGUUCUGUAAGGGGCGAAGUCGUAGCGAAAGCAGCGGUGGACUUUACAGAAGUGAGAAUGCCGGAAUGAGUAGCGAGAAAUAUGUGAGAAUCAUAUUGGCCGAAAGUCUAAGGUUUUUGGAGGAAGGUUCGUCCGCUCCAAGUAAGUCGGGAGCUAAGGUGAGGCCGAAAGGCGUAGCCGAUGCACAUACGGUAGAUAUUCCGUAACCGUCGAAGAAUUAAAGCACAGGGACAUCUGAGGAAGACAUAACCCGGGCGUUGGUAGACCCGGGCGUAAGGGACCGAAAAUAAGUAGGGAAGUAUGUUGGAAUUAGGGCGAGAAAAGCUGUGUGUAAAUUCAAGAUGCCCGUACCGCAAACCGACACAGGUAGAUAGGAAGAGAAUUCUAAGGCCAACGGGAGAAGGGUAGUUAAGGAACUCGGCAAAUUGACCCCGUAACUUAGGGAAAAGGGGUGCUCACGAAGGUGAGCCGCAGAGAAUAGGCCCAGGCGACUGUUUAGCAAAAACACAGGUCUCUGCCAAAUCGAAAGAUGAAGUAUAGGGGCUGACACCUGCCCGGUGCUGGAAGGUUAAGAGGAAGUGUGCAAGCACUGAAUUGAAGCCCCAGUAAACGGCGGCCGUAACUAUAACGGUCCUAAGGUAGCGAAAUUCCUUGUCGGGUAAGUUCCGACCCGCACGAAUGGUGUAACGAUCUGGGCACUGUCUCAACUACCCGCCCGGCGAAAUUGUAGUACCGGUGAAGAUGCCGGUUACCUGCGACAAGACGGAAAGACCCCAUGGAGCUUUACUGUAGCUUAAUAUUGGGUUUCGAUAAUCUAUGUACAGGAUAGGCGGGAGACUUGGAAACUAGUGCGCCAGCAUUAGCGGAGUCACCCUUGGGAUACCGCCCUUAGAUUAUUGGAAUUCUAACCUGCGGCCAUGAAACUGGUCGGGGGACAUUGUUAGGUGGGCAGUUUGACUGGGGCGGUCGCCUCCGAAAAGGUAACGGAGGCGCUCAAAGGUUAGCUCAGCACGGACGGAAACCGUGCCUCUGAGUGUAAACGCAAAAGCUAGCCUAACUGCGAGGAUGACGGUCCGAGCAGUAACGAAAGUUGGAGUUAGUGAUCCGGCGGUAUGUGAAUGGAAAUGCCGUCGCUCAACGGAUAAAAGCUACCCUGGGGAUAACAGGCUGAUCUCCCCCAAGAGUCCACAUCGACGGGGAGGUUUGGCACCUCGAUGUCGGCUCAUCACAUCCUGGGGCUGAAUUCGGUCCCAAGGGUUCGGCUGUUCGCCGAUUAAAGUGGUACGCGAGCUGGGUUCAGAACGUCGUGAGACAGUUCGGUCCCUAUCUGUCGUGGGCGUAAGAUAUUUGAGGAGCUCUGUCCUUAGUACGAGAGGACCGGGAUGGACGCACCUCUGGUGCACCAGUUGUCACGCCAGUGGCACAGCUGGGCAGCUAAGUGCGGAUCGGAUAAACGCUGAAAGCAUCUAAGCGUGAAGCCGUCCUUAAGAUAAGAUAUCCCACUUUUAAGUUAAGACCCCUUGAAGACUACGAGGUUGAUAGGUCUACGGUGUAAGUUGUGUGAGCAAUUUAGCCUGCAGAUACUAAUCGGUCGAGGGCUUAAACCU